rnacentral:rRNA from 1 species
AUUGAACGCUGGCGGCAGGCUUAACACAUGCAAGUCGAGCGGAGAUGAGGUGCUUGCACCUUAUCUUAGCGGCGGACGGGUGAGUAAUGCUUAGGAAUCUGCCUAUUAGUGGGGGACAACAUUCCGAAAGGAAUGCUAAUACCGCAUACGUCCUACGGGAGAAAGCAGGGGAUCUUCGGACCUUGCGCUAAUAGAUGAGCCUAAGUCGGAUUAGCUAGUUGGUGGGGUAAAGGUCGACCAAGGCGACGAUCUGUAGCGGGUCUGAGAGGAUGAUCCGCCACACUGGGACUGAGACACGGCCCAGACGCCGACGGGAGGCAGCAGUGGGGAAUAUUGGACAAUGGGGGGAACCCUGAACCAGCCAUGCCGCGUGUGUGAAGAAGGCCUUAUGGUUGUAAAGCACUUUAAGCGAGGAGGAGGCUACUGAGACUAAUACUCUUGGAUAGUGGACGUUACUCGCAGAAUAAGCACCGGCUAACUCUGUGCCAGCCGCCGCGGUAAUAC